UACAGAGGUCUCAAGCGUUGUUCGGAAUCACUGGGCAUAAAGCGCACGUAGGCGGCCAAGUCAGUCAGGUGUGAAAUACCUCGGCUCAACCGAGGAACUGCGCCUGAUACUGCUUGGCUUGAGGUCCGGAGGGGAGAGUGGAAUUCCCGGUGGAGCGGUGAAAUGCGUAGAGAUCGGGAAGAACGCCGGCGGCGAAAGCGACUCUCUGGUCGGAAUCUGACGCUGAGGUGCGAAAGCUAGGGGAGCAAACGGG
rnacentral:rRNA from 1 species